rnacentral:misc_RNA from 1 species
AUCUUCGUCCAGCUGAAGGUGGAAGAGGUGAGGAAAUACCGACUUCAAUUUGGAGUAAAUGGAAUCCUUGAUGGCUUGUGACCUCGAUACCAAAUUUAUGACAAAUAGACCUUGAUCAGAAAGAGAAUCUUUUGCUGCCAUAAGAAAAGACUCUUCAAUAAAGUCUGCAGCAGGGCAACUUAAACCAGAACUCGAGUCUGAAGAAUCCACAUCAACAAUGAGCAUGUCAAUUUUUUCUGUGCUUUUAAGUGGUGCAUUAGACAGGGUGGAAUUACCAUUGGAAGAAGGGACCUUUGCCUCAGAAACAUCAUUUUCAUAACCAUUGGUAACUGCAUGAGCUGCAUCCUUGACGUACUUCAAACCAUCAGUCACAUGUACCUUUAACCGUUCAUCAUCUCUAAAAUCAAAAUAGUCUCUAGCAAGAUCUACAACCACAGGAUCCAACUCCAAAACCUCAAUCUCUGCAAAACUCAGGUGCUUACGUAGAAACAUGGGAAGCAAUCCUGCUCCAAGACCAAUUACUACUGAUCUCACCAUGCCUCCCGUAGAUGCCAAACCAUCCAAAUGAGAAGAUAUCAAUGUAAAACCAGAGAUGAUUCCAGUAUGAUAUGAACUGGCCAAAUAACUGUGGUCAACUUUCAAAUCUUUGCUCAAUCCAUCAGACGAUGAGACAUUAGACCCAGAUUUUUUCUGAUUUCCUUUUUUCUUGGAUUUUGAAGAUGACUGGCCUAUCUUCUGAUUAAUAUCAGCUAGAGACUUCGGUGAUCCUUCUUUUGAUAGCACAGCCUCAGAUUGCACUAAACUCUCCGUUCUUUGGAAAGUAAGGCGACGAAAUAUCACAUCCUCAGAUGCAAAGAGACGGCUAAUAUUUUCAUCAACUUUCUCAUAGAUCACAUCAUCUACAAUUAUUGGACCAGUCAAGGGAGAUGUGAUCUCUUGAACAAUCUUUCGCUGUUUGAUUCCAUCACUUGCGGCCAUAAAAGGUAUCUGAGCUUCAUCGUCAAAAUCUCCUGGCGCCAAUUGCAUUAUCAGAGGAGAGAGAUCUUUCUGAAUGUCAUCCAUACUGGCGUCUGAAUGGCUAGAAUCCAGCAAAAUCAUUAUUAAACGAGCAGCCUUAGAGCUUUCUACAACUGCCCAUUGUCCUUCUUCUGAAGAGAA